rnacentral:ncRNA from 2 species
CGCCAAGCCAAGGGGUGCAAUGCUUUUACGAGCAUUUGCUGAGAGAAUUUACCCUUAUUACCUGAUGCGGAUAAUGCCGAUGUAGGGAUGGUUAAUUGAAUGACC